UACGUAGGGUGCAAGCGUUGUCCGGAAUUAUUGGGCGUAAAGAGCUCGUAGGCGGUUUGUCGCGUCGGCUGUGAAAACCUGGGGCUCAACCCCGGGCCUGCAGCCGAUACGGGCAAACUAGAAUUCGGUAGGGGAGACUGGAAUUCCUGGUGUAGCGGUGAAAUGCGCAGAUAUCAGGAGGAACACCGGUGGCGAAGGCGGGUCUCUGGGCAGAGACUGACGCUGAGGCGCGACAGCGUGGGGAGCAAACAGG
rnacentral:rRNA from 1 species